CAACUUUCAACAACGGAUCUCUUGGCUCUCGCAUCGAUGAAGAACGCAGCGAAAUGCGAUAAGUAAUGUGAAUUGCAGAUUUCAGUGAAUCAUCGAAUCUUUGAACGCACCUUGCGCCUUGUGGUAUUCCACAAGGCAUGCCCGUUUGAGUGUCAUUU
rnacentral:rRNA from 1 species